ACGUUGAGCUGUCGGUAAACAGUCCACGAAGAAGAAGUCUCUCCUCCUCUUGCUUCGUGCUAAAGUGACCUCUGUUGCUAACAGCUGUAAAACAAUGGCUCCUCCUGUGGCAGUGUCGCCUUUGAUUAAGACUGCCAGGUACUCUGCUUUAAUAGCAGGCCUCUUGUAUGGUAAAAUGAGAUAUGAUUACCUGAAACCCAUCGCGGCCGAAGAAAGGAGGAUCGAGGAGGAGGAGAAAAAGAUCCGUGAGGAGCAGGAGCGCAUAGCUAAGGAACUAGCAGAAGCAAAUGAAGACACCAUUCUGAAGUAAAUGUUUUGAAGAUGUUCUUGUACCCCUGAAAUGACCAACCUCUUCCUCUUUUUCUGGAGUAAUAAAGACAGUCAGACACUUCUAUUUUGUGGAAGUGCUUACUGUCGAGGCCGAUGCAACACCCCUCUGGAUUGUUGAUGUUAUUUUGUUAAUCUCAGAAUGCAAAAUUUGCUUCUUAUUCAGCAUUGUACAGCUACAUAUGCACUCAGAACUUGUGUUUAUAAUGAAGCAAAGUGAUCAAUACAGAAAAUUAUGACCCCUGUAGUCCUUGUUUUUAUCAACGUGACAUUUAUUGCCCUCCCUCAGAAAGCCACAUUAGGUUUG